UCCCUGGUGGUCCAGAGGUUAGGACUCGAUGCUUUCACUGCUGUGGGCCUGGGUUCAACCCCUGGUCAGGGAA
rnacentral:tRNA from 1 species